rnacentral:misc_RNA from 1 species
GUAGGUGAACCUGCGGAAGGAUCAUUACAGAGUUCACGCCCCUCGGGGCAGACCUCCCACCCUUUGCCAUACCAUCCUGUGUUGCUUUGGCGGGCCGCCGCUCGCGGCCACCGGCCUCGGCCGGUGCCGGCCCGCCAGACGAAAAGAAAACCCUGUCUUACAGUGUCGUCCGAGUACUAUAUAAUAGUUAAAACUUUCAACAACGGAUCUCUUGGUUCUG